UUGUAAGCACUUUUGGCAGGAAAGAAACGUCAUGGGCUAAUACCCCGUGAAACUGACGGUACCUGCAGAAUAAGCACCGGCUAACUACGUGCCAGCAGCCGCGGUAAUACGUAGGGUGCAAGCGUUAAUCGGAAUUACUGGGCGUAAAGCGUGCGCAGGCGGUUCGGAAAGAAAGAUGUGAAAUCCCAGAGCUUAACUUUGGAACUGCAUUUUUAACUACCGAGCUAGAGUGUGUCAGAGGGAGGUGGAAUUCCGCGUGUAGCAGUGAAAUGCGUAGAUAUGCGGAGGAACACCGAUGGCGAAGGCAGCCUCCUGGGAUAACACUGACGCUCAUGCACGAAAGCGUGGGGAGCAAACAGGAUUAGAUACCCUGGUAGUCCACGCCCUAAACGAUGUCAACUAGCUGUUGGGGCCUUCGGGCCUUAGUAGCGCAGCUAACGCGUGAAGUUGACCGCCUGGGGAGUACGGUCGCAAGAUUAAAACUCAUAGGAAAUUGACAG
rnacentral:rRNA from 1 species